GGACUACUGGGGUAUCUAAUCCGGUUUGCUCCCCCAGCUUUCAUCCCUCACCGUCGAACGUGUUCUGGCAGACCGCCUUCGCCACUGGUGGUCCUCAAUGGAUCAGAGGAUUUUACCCCUACCCACUGAAUACCGUCUGCCUCUCCCACUCCCUAGCUUUGUAGUAUCUCCAGCAGCCCAUCUGUUGAGCAGGUGGAUUUAACCGAAGACUUGCAAAGCCGGCUACGGAUGCUUUAGGCCCAAUAAACGUCCUGACCACUCGAGGUGCUGGUAUUACCGCGGCUGCUGACAC
rnacentral:misc_RNA from 1 species